AAUAUCUAUCGGCUGCGGAAAUGCAAGUGUUGCCAUGGUAAUGGCAUUCCGUGUCCCCAUCACGUGCCUCAUGUGGUUUGUUCCAUUGUGUUCUUCCUUAAUCAAGCAUUUCAAAGCUGAAUGAGUAAUGAGGGAUUUAAGGAAUAUCAAACAUGGAUGAGAUUUGUAUGAAAUAAUAAUAGUUUGAAAGCCUGUGGGCUCUGUGUUCGACACGAUUCAUCUCCUGAAAUCAUCCCACAGAAGGAGUCACCGAAUGUAAUGCUGUACCAGACUAAACCUGCGGCAUGAUGUACUCACUGCAGGGAUUGGAGGAGGGCAACAUAGUGAGACUCUAGAUUAAUCUGAGCGGAGUACAACCACUCUUCUGCCCUCCAGCUGAUAAAUGUUGUUGAACGAGCCGCAUGUGCUUUUGCUGCCUCUGGCCGGAUGUGAUAACCAUGGCAACCAGUACUGGAUGACGCCCACGUCCUCAAUCCCCACAGAGAUGUGGCACGAUGCCCUGUGCGACAUGACAUGGCUAUUUUAAAGGAGGGCAAGUGUAAGAGAAGGGCUGGACAUUAAUACCCGCCAAAUUUGGGUGGAUUUCGGCAGUGGCGUGUAACGCAGUCACUCC